rnacentral:rRNA from 1 species
AUUGAACGCUGGCGGCAGGCCUAACACAUGCAAGUCGAGCGGAUGAGUGGAGCUUGCUCCAUGAUUCAGCGGCGGACGGGUGAGUAAUGCCUAGGAAUCUGCCUGGUAGUGGGGGACAACGUUUCGAAAGGAACGCUAAUACCGCAUACGUCCUACGGGAGAAAGUGGGGGAUCUUCGGACCUCACGCUAUCAGAUGACCCUAGGUCGGAUUAGAUAGUUGGUGAGGUAAAGGCUCACCGAGGCGACGAUCCGUAACUGGGCUGAGAGGAUGAUCAGUCACACUGGAACUGGGACCCGGUCCAGACUCCUACGGGAAGCAGCAGUGGGGAAUAUUGGACAAUGGGCGAAAGCCUGAUCCAGCCAUGCCGCGUGUGUGAAGAAGGUCUUCGGAUUGUAAAGCACUUUAAGUUGGGAGGAAGGGCAGUAAGUUAAUACCUUGCUGUUUUGACGUUACCAACAGAAUAAGCACCGGCUAACUUCGUGCCAGCAGCCGCGGUAACAC